CCAAUAGCGUAUAUUAAAGUUGUUGCAGUUAAAAAGCUCGUAGUUGAACUUCAGGCCUGGCUGGACGGUCCGCCUUCCGGGCGAGUACUGUCUGUGGUCGGGUCCUACCUUCUGGCGAAGCGUUAUGGCCUUAACCGGCUGUGGCGGGGAACCAGGACUUUUACUGUGAAAAAAUUAGAGUGUUCAAAGCAGGCAAUUCGCUUGGAUACAUUAGCAUGGAAUAAUGGAAUAGGACAAUGGUUCUAUUUGUUGGUUUCCAGGACUGUUGUAAUGAUUAAUAGGGAUAGUUGGGGGCAUUAGUAUUCAAUUGUCAGAGGUGAAAUUCUUGGAUUUAUUGAAGACUAACUACUGCGAAAGCAUUUGCCAAGGAUGUUUUCAUUAAUCAAGAACGAAAGUUAGGGGAUCGAAGACGAUCAGAUACCGUCGUAGUCUUAACCAUAAACUAUGCCGACUAGGAAUCGGGCGAUGUUGACAAAAUGACGCGCUCGGCACCUCAUG
rnacentral:rRNA from 1 species